AACGAACGCUGGCGGCGUGCCUAACACAUGCAAGUCGAGCGCGAAAGGAGCAAUCCGAGUAGAGCGGCGCACGGGUGCGUAACACGUGGGUAAUCUGCCUCAGGGUUGAGGAUAACCUUCCGAAAGGUUGGCUAAUACUCGGUAAGCUUACGGAGUCUUCGGACUCUGUGAGAAAACUAGACCUCUAUUUAUAAGUUUAGGCCCAGAGAUGAGCCCGCGGCCCAUCAGCUAGUUGGCGGUGUAACGGACCACCAAGGCAACGACGGGUAGCUGGUCUGAGAGGACGAUCAGCCACACUGGAACUGAGACACGGUCCAGACUCCUACGGGAGGCAGCAGUGGGGAAUUUUCCACAAUGGGCGAAAGCCUGAUGGAGCAACGCCGCGUGUGUGAUGAAGGUCUUCGGAUCGUAAAGCACUUUCGACCGGGACGAAAACCCGUUGGCUAACAUCCAACGGACUGACGGUACCGGGAGAAGAAGCACCGGCUAACUCUGUG
rnacentral:rRNA from 1 species